UGAGGAAUAUUGCGCAAUGGGGGCAACCCUGACGCAGCAACGCCGCGUGAGUGAGGAAGGUUUUCGGAUUGUAAAGCUCUGUCGAGUGGGAAGAAAUGUGUGGUGGCUAAUAUCCAUCAUGCUUGACGGUACCGCUAAAGGAAGCACCGGCUGACUCCGUGCCAGCAGCCGCGGUAAUACGGGGGGUGCAAGCGUUGUUCGGAAUUAUUGGGCGUAAAGCGCGUGUAGGCGGCUGGCCAAGUCGGAUGUGAAAGCCCUCGGCUUAACCGAGGAAGUGCGUUCGAUACUAGCUAGCUCGAGUACCGGAGAGGGUGGUGGAAUUCCCGGUGUAGAGGUGAAAUUCGUAGAUAUCAGGAGGAACACCGGUGGCGAAGGCGACUUCCUGGCCCUAUACUGACGCUGAGACGCGAGAGCGUGGGGAGCAAACAGG
rnacentral:rRNA from 1 species